UACGUAGGCAGCAAGCGUUGUUCGGAGUUACUGGGCGUAAAGAGUAUGUAGGCGGUGUCCUAAGUUCGGUGUGAAAUCUCCCGGCUCAACUGGGAGGGUGCGCCGAAGACUGGGAUGCUGGAGUCUCGGAGAGGAACGCGGAAUUCCUGGUGUAGCGGUGAAAUGCGUAGAUAUCAGGAGGAACACCAGUGGUGUAGACGGCGUUCUGGACGAGUACUGACGCUGAGAUACGAAAGCGUGGGGAGCAAACAGG
rnacentral:rRNA from 2 species